GGUUCGACCCCCGCUUCUUUAA
rnacentral:tRNA from 1 species